GAUGAACGCUGGCGGCGUGCCUAAUACAUGCAAGUCGAGCGAACAGACGAGAGUGCUUGCACUCUCUGACGUUAGCGGCGGACGUGUGAGUAACACGUGGGUAACCUACCUAUAAGACUGGGAUAACUUCGGGAAACCGGAGCUAAUACCGGAUAAUAUUUAGCUUCGCAUGAAGCAAUAGUGAAAGACGGUUCUGCUGUCACUUAUUGAUGGACCCGCGGUGUAUUAGCUAGUUGGUGAGGUAACGGCUCACCAAGGCAACGAUACAUAGCCGACCUGAGAGGGUGAUCGGCCACACUGGGACUGAGACACGGCCCAGACUCCUACGGGAGGCAGCAGUAGGGAAUCUUCCGCAAUGGACGAAAGUCUGACGGAGCAAUGCCGCGUGAGUGAAGAAGGUUUUCGGAUCGUAAAACUCUGUUGUAAGGGAAGAACAAGUACGUUAGUAACUGAACGUACCUUGACGGUACCUUACCAGAAAGCCACGGCUAACUACGUG
rnacentral:rRNA from 1 species